rnacentral:misc_RNA from 1 species
UUGCUCAGCUUGUCUACAAUGACAUAAGAGUGCAAGAUUUUGAAGUCAAAGCGUGGGUCUGUGUUUCAGACGAACUUGAUGUUUUUAAGGUAACAAAAGAUGUCCUUAUGGAGGUUACUUCAUUAACUUGUGAAAACAAGACUUUAAAUCAGCUUCAACUUGAGCUAAAGGAAAGAUUGAAGGGGAAAAGAUUUUUGCUUGUUUUAGAUGAUGUUUGGAGUGUUAAGUAUACUGACUGGGAAAUUUUGCAGAAGCCUUUUAUGUCUGGGGCUCAAGGAAAUAGGAUUGUUAUUACAACACGCAUUGAUCAUGUGGCAUCAACCAUGCAAACUGUUCCAGCCCUCCAUCUAAAGGGAUUAACUGAUAAGGAUUGUUGGUCCUUGUUUGCAAAACUUGUAUUUGAUGAUGAAAAUUCUAGCACACAUCCAGAUUUGGAAGUAAUUGGUAGAGAAAUAGUGAGUAAGUGCAAAGGUUUACCUUUAGCUGCAAAAGCUCUUGGGGGUCUUUUACGCUCCAAGAGGGAUGUUGAGGAAUGGGAGAAGAUAUCGAAGAGCAGUUUGUGGAAUUCAUCAAAUGAUGACAUUCUUCCAGCUUUAAGAUUGAGUUACCUUUAUCUUCCAUCACAUCUAAAACGAUGCUUCGCUUACUGUGCAAUAUUUCCUAAAGAUCAUGAAUUUGAAAAGGAGGAAUUGGUCCAUUUAUGGAUGGCAGAGGGUUUCUUAGUUCCUUCCCCUGCAGAUAAAGAGAUGGAAGAAGUAGGUGAUGAGUACUUUUGUGAUCUUGUAUCAAGAUCAUUUUUUCAACGGUCAAGUGGCCAUCACUCGUACUUCAUUAUGCAUGACCUGAUAAAUGACUUGGCUAAGCAAGUAUCUGGAGAGUUUUGCUGUAGGUUGGAUGGUGAUGAUUCAUGCAAGAUUACUAGAAGGACUCGCCAUUUAUCAUAUGUUGGAACAGAAUAUGAUUCUGGUAUGAUAUUUGACGGCAUCUAUGAAGCCCAAUUUUUGCGUACAUUUAUACUUAUGGAGUGGUCAUGCAUUGAUAAUGAGGUAAUGCAUGAUUUAUUGCUGAAAUUCAGGCAAUUACGAGUACUCUCUCUCUCUCAAUAUCGUAGUGUAACUGCAUUGCCUGAGUCAAUUGGCUACUUGAAGCAUUUACGAUAUCUAAAUCUCUCUACAGCAUCAGUAAAAAGGUUGCCUGAGAUUCUGAGUACUUUGUAUAAUUUGCAAACGUUGAUCUUGCGUGAGUGCAUAUACCUUGCUGUGUUGCCUGAUUCUAUUGGAAAUUUGAAGUAUUUACGAUACUUGGAUCUCUCAGGAACAUUGAUCAGAAGGUUACCUGAAUCUCUGAGUGGCUUGUUCUAUUUGCAAACGUUAAUCUUUUGUCAAUGCCAAGAUCUCAUUGAGCUGGCAACCAACAUGUCAAGGUUAAUCAACUUGCAGCGUCUGGAUAUUAGAGGAACAUAAUUGCAAGAGAUGCCACCACAAAUGAGUGAGUUAAACAAUCUCCGUAUAUUAAUUACUUUCAUUGUAAGAAGACAGUGUGGGUCUAACAUAAAGGAAUUAGGCAAACUUCAGCAUCUGCAAGAAAAACUUUGUAUUUGGAAUCUUGAAAAUAUUGUGGAUGCUGAACAAGCUUUGGAAAUUGGAAGCCAAUUUAAUGGGUAAGAGACACCACAAGGUGUUGGAGGUGAGAUGGAACAAUGAUACUGAUAAUUCAGCACUUGAAAGAGGUGUGCUUGAGCAAUUACAACCUCAUGCAAAUGUGGAAUCUUUUUCAAUUGUUGGUUAUUGGAGUGAUGGAUUUAUGGAUUGGAGAAGAGAUUCUUCUUUCUCAAGCAUAGUAUGCUUGAAUCUUUGUGGAUGUAAAUACUGCUUCUGUUUACCACCACUUGGGCAGAUAGCAUCUAUGGAAUUGAGGUUGUUAGUCCUGCAUUCUAUGGAAAUUGCACUUCUAUGGUGAAUCCAUAUAGGUCCCUCAAAAUCCAGAAGUUUGAAAGGAUGCCAAAAUGGCAUAAAUGGAUUCCUUGUAUAGACAAAGAUGAAAGUAGACUUUUCCCUGUCCUCCAAAAGCAUUACAUAAGAGAAUGUCCCAACAUAUCGACAGUCUUGCCCAGUCACCUUCUUUAACAACACUUGAGAUUGAGUGAUGCCUGCAGCUUGUGCUUUCACUUCCAAGGACUACAGUGAUCAUUAAAAUAAAGUUAAAAGAAUGAUUCUUAUGAUGUGCUAAUAAAGAAAUUGCCUUUAGAGCUGCAGUCUUAUAGAUUACAACUUCUACUCUUUAGAUUUCAUAUUGGAUACAAUUGGUAGUUUUUUCACUGUUUCAGAAGAAAUUGAAAUGAUAAACCAUGAUUCACUCAAAUGCUUCCCGCUAGACUUGUUUCCAAGGUUAAAGAGUCUAUGCAUCACUAAAUGUCGCAUGCUUGAAUCCCUUACUACACCUGAGACAACUCAUGAGAAUUGCACAUCUCUUAGUUCCUAGGAGAUCAGGGAGUGUCCUAAUUUAGUAUUGUUUCUCAAAGGAAGCUUACCUGCCCCAAAUUUGGCUCAGCUUCUAUUGCUAGGUUGCUCAAAUGUGGAAAUCUUCCCUGAAAUGAUAAUACCGCCUUCCAGUUUUACCUCUCUUAAAUUUUGGGAUUUUCAAAAUCUGAAAUUUCUGGACUAGAAUGGACUUCAACAUCUCACCACUCUGAAAGAAAUAGAGAUCUGUAACUGUCGUAAGCUCCAAUCCUUGCCAGAAGAGAGGCUGCCCUCUUCACUUUCUUCUCCUUUUGUCUUUAUAUGUCUCAUGCUGGAACAGAGGUGUCGAAGGGAGCAAGGGGAAGAUUGGGGCAAGAUUUCUUACAUAUCACAUAUGAAAGUUAAUUUCCACAAGAUCAAUUGACCCAAAAACUAGAUGAGUCACUCUUCUUAUGUUCAUUCAACACGAUGACAGGUGAUGCUAAUCAAAAGUUUCUUUGCAUCAAUCACAAUUUUGGACUAACAUCUCCACGUUUCUUCUUAAUUCUUUGUGAUUUUAUUGCCAGGCUCUUGAUCCAUUUUCUUUUGUCCAUUUGAGGCUCCUAAUUUUGAUCUAUGCCAACUCAAUUUUGCUUGUCAACUAUGAAAACAGGACUGAAAUUUUGCAUGUAAAUUGCACUUGUUUCUACUGCAUGUUUCAUCUUGUUAUUCUGUAGAGCUGCCAGGUGGUCUGGUUUUUCCAAGUGCUUCUUGUUCCUGGCUCUAAAGAGACAGAAAUGUUAAAGGAUAUGCAUAGUUUUGUUAUGUUAGAAAUUUAUUGAAUGGAUUGUGUGCUUGUCUUUACAUUCCUUAGCAUUGAGAGGUCUGCUUUUGCUUUUGGCUUUUCCAUGUUAAAAUAUCCCUUACAGAUAGCUGACCUAGAUUAGUUAAAAGAAUUACAGUUAAGCAACUGCAUUCAUUCUAACUUUUUAGUUUCUUCUCCCCACAAUCUGCAGCAUGGUUAAUGCCAGUACAUGAUUGGCAUAUUUUAAGUAAAACUCAGUGCUAUUUGUUGAAAAAAGAUUGCUUUAUAUUUCUAGUUUGAAUAUUGAAUAACAAGGUCAUUGUCUGGUCUUAUUCUCACUAGUCCUUUGCAGGUUUUAAGAUCUAAAAUUCAUUCAAUACAUUUGAAGCUGAAGAAAGCAGGAGUGAAUAGAGGAGAAGAAAAGAAGAAAGCAGGAAUAAUAAAAUAGUUUGUCCUUCCUUUUUUGCUAAUUUUUUCAGCAUAAGUAUGUAAAUUACUGGAUAGUCUAAUCAUAUUCUCUUACACAUUUAGAUAGACAUGGCCAGCGAUCCGGUCCAGGCAGGUUCUGGUUCUAGGGUAAGGGCUAACUGGUUCCGGACAAAAGGAUUCAUUGUUUUGGGUCGAUCAGGUUUUAAUCAAAUUCAAAGUCUGAAUUUUUUUUUUUUUUGAAUUUUUUAAAUGAAAAAACAGGUUUGGAGUGAAACCGGAUCAAACUGAUCGGUUUCAUUCUGGUUUUGAUUCAAUUCAAUGCUAGUUUUGGUCAAUUCAGAUUUGACUGGUUUUGUUUCUGAGUUGGACCAAUCUGGUUCCAAAUUCGAACCUGACUGUGGCCAUGAUUACAUUCAGACAAGUACAUUGUUUCUUGUACCGGGUGAUUAUGCAAACUUUGUGCAAGAAAAUGUAUAUGAACAAGUGUCUACC